rnacentral:rRNA from 1 species
AUACGGAGGUUGCAAGCGUUGUUCGGAAUCACUGGGCGUAAAGGGCGCGCAGGCGGUUUGGUAAGUCAGAUGUGAAAGCCCACGGCUCAACCGUGGAAGUGCAUUUGAAACUGCCAGACUUGAGUACCAGAGGGGAAAGUGGAAUUCCCGGUGUAGAGGUGAAAUUCGUAGAUAUCGGGAGGAAUACCGGUGGCGAAGGCGACUUUCUGGCUGGAUACUGACGCUGAGGCGCGAAAGCGUGGGGAGCAAACAGGAUUAGAAACCCUAGUAGUCC